rnacentral:misc_RNA from 1 species
AGAAUGGAAGUAAUGGGUUGAUUCGGCACCAGAAAGUGCAGAUGUUAGAGUCUGAAGUUGAUGAUUAUGACCCAGAUGGUAAAAUGGGGCAUGGUUUCUACGGUGAUGAUAUGUACACUGGCGAAGAUGGGCAACUCUCAUGGUUUAAUGCAGGUGUUAGAGUGGGUGUUGGUAUUGGUCUUGGAGUGUGUCUUGGAGUUGGAAUCGGGGUUGG